GCGGGGGGCCGCGGGGGCCGCGGGUUACAAAUAGGCAGCGCCCACCGGGAGCCCCCCAGUGCCACCGCCGCCAGCGCCAUGCAGCCGUUCCCGGCGCUCCUCUGCCUCCUCGCCGCGCUCCUGCCCGCCGCCGCCGCGCAUCUCUGGGCCUGGAUGUACGCGCUGCCCCAGCACCCGCCCGACAGAGCCGCGCUGGGCAGAAGCGCCGGUCCGGGGGGCAGCGAGGAGGAGGUGACACCGUGCGGCCCCACCACCCCCUGUGCCCACGGACACUUCUGCGACGAACACUUCGGGCUGUGCCUGCCCACGCGCCCCGCCGGGCAGUACUGCCGCCGCGACACCCACUGCGCCCACGGCCUCCUCUGCACCUUCGGGAAGUGCCAGCAGCCCGUGCCCGACGGGCAGGAGGGUGAGCAGCGGAUGGGGGUGGGGGGCAGCCCGGGAGCGGAGGGAUGUGAUGGAGGUGGGGUUGGUACCAUCAUCCUUCAUCAGAGCUGCUGCGGGCAGCGGGAC
rnacentral:lncRNA from 1 species